UAAUAAACCUGGCAGGGGAGAUACCAUGAUCUCAAAGGUGCUUUUCCCAAGCCCAGGCUUAGCCACUGCACUCUAAUGUGCUGACCCCUGCAACUUUCCUAAAUGUGGGGAACUCAACUGCAUUAAAAAGAAAAGAAAAGAUCUUUUACUAUUCUUGC
rnacentral:snRNA from 1 species